rnacentral:lncRNA from 1 species
CAGAAGACAGAAGCAAGUUUUCAUCAGUAUUCGUUCAUCAAAGGAAAAGUUUCCAUAUGAAGCUGUUUUUUGAAAGGUGUCACUAUAUUGAUUAGUAAUACAAAAGCAGCACAGGAAUUGUUUUCCCUCACAUCCAACCAAAGAGCUGUGAGGAUGAUUAACACACAGGUUUAAAAAUAACCUGUGCUGCCAUUCUGUCCAAGUUAAAAUUUAGUCAAGUCGUAUUUUCCACUGUAGGAGAAGUCAUGAAUGAAUUACAGUCUAAGGACUUCUUUAUGAGACUUGGUAUACUUCAGCAACAUGCAAAAAAUUUUAUUUUAAUCAGUUAAUAUUUGGAAGUUGCAGAAAAUUUUCUUGCAGUUUCAACAAGCAUUUCUUCCUGCUGUAUUCACAUAUUAAGCAUUUUUUAUGUUUGGAUCAACAAGUUUAUCAAGAAUUAACUGACCAAAAAGAUGUUGAAUGUCAGCUUCUCUGUUCGAUGACUUUUGGAAGAAUUUUGGAGAUUGAGGUGCACACUUUUUUAUGUACAUUCAAAUUGUGCUAGAAUUAAUCCCAAGAUUUACAAAAAGCCCAUUUUUGAUGGAUUUCAAAAUCUUCAUGAAGAUAAACAUGCUGGGGGAAAUGAAUCCUGUCUACUGAAAUGUAUUUUAGUCUUAAUGAUACUAAUAAUAAGCAAAAUAUGAAGUAUGAAACAGAAAAUCCUAAACAAAUUCAUUAUUGACCUCUGUAUACACCAAGCAGAUGUAUGAUAUAACUGCCAUAAUGUCAUACCAUACUUUAAGGCAGUGUAUAAAAUGACAUGACCUACUGAAUGUAAUAAACAGAUUUUGGAAUGACCGUCUUGUAUUCAGUACUUACUUUUAUGUCUGAGUAUAAACCUUGCUUUUUCAAAGAGUUAAAAAGAAAGGAGGAUUACAGAGGACCGCUUUUUGAGAUCCCAUUUGGCCCAAUGUGGAAUAAUAGGCUUUCAGUAAGACAGAACCAUAAUACAAAAUCCCUAGUUUUGCGAUUUAAAUUAAAGUCUUCAAUAUACUUAAAUCUGUCUACAAUCAAUUUUUUUAGAGCUACAUUAAAAGAGAAGUCUACAUUAAUCAACCAGAUAUUAAAAACAUUUAAAAGGGAUUAUCAAAGAAAGGAUGAACAACUCAUCUGUAGUUUUGGACAGAUCAAGUGGUAGUGCUCUGUCCAGAAAGAAAAGAUGGAAGCAUCCAAUUAUGUAAACAUUAAGAGGCAAGAUUUUCCACAAAGAAAGGGAAGAAACUGAGCAAAUUUUUUUUUGGGGGUGUAAAAUUCUGAGAUGCAUUCGGUUUUCAAUUUUUUUAUGUAAUGUAGAAUUCAAUCUUUAAAUUUGAAUCAUAAACAUAAUUUUACUGCUGUAGUAGUACAGAAAAGUCAGCUGCUACUUACUAACAUAAUAAAAAUGUGUAUGCAGAUUUUGAUAUUUUCCUUUUAGAAAUUGAUUGUUUCGGAAAAUUUUAUUUCUCUCCAUUACUACGUUGUUUAACUAAGUAUUAAAAAUAAAGAAGGCAAGCAUUGUAGCAUGUAUAAAAAGGCUCUUCAUGUUUAUUUUUUCUGAAAGGGUUCUGCAAAUCAUUAUUCAGGCAGAUUAGUAAAGAUAAGAACUAUUUUUAAACAGCUAAAAUAUCAGUUGAAAAAUAAAAAAAUUAUAACAAGAAACUUGCUGUUAUAAAUUGGUACUUCCAUUUUAUGGUGGCCUAAGUGCAUUUAACACAUCUUUGCUUUGGAGAGAAAUGAAAGGUUACUAAUUUGCAUGUUUAUCUAAGGUUUAUGUCUCUUCAGCCAAUGAAAAUUUUUCUUAAAAUCUAACAGCUCGCUAUUAUUAAGUAUUUAUGAUGAAGAAUUGUUACUAUAUACUGUUUACUAUUUUCAAUCUGUCAUCAAUAGAAAAGGAAAAUUAUGGAAAAUUAUGCUUAUGGGGAUCAAUGAAAAAGUGAAACAAAAAACAAAGGUUUAUGUCUUUCUAUCAGCUAGAGUCAUACUAAGUAGAAUUCAUGUUCAGGCAUUGCAUUAUCUGUGAUAAUGUGUUUUACACAUUAUUAUCAGAAAGUGUGUAUAAAAAAUAACAUUUUGGUUAUAUUUAUAGAUGUUAAGUAAAUUGUUUGGAAAAUUGCAUUAAAUAAAAGAAAAAAUAUAAGUUUAUGUUAAAUUACUUCUGUAUGUAUUUGUUUCCAGCAAUGUAUGAAAUGUCGGCAUUCUAUUGAAUAGCUAUGCAUUUUAUAGAAUGCCUAGCAAUUUAAAGCACAGUGUGAAAUAUGAGAAUCAUUAUAUACUUUCCCUAGGCUUUAUGUAUAAUACCUAUAUAGUCUUGAGGAUGACAAAUGUUAUUUAAACAAAAUGUGUUAAAAGCUCUUCCCCCCUGCUGCCUAGGCAUACAAAUGUAGAUGUACAGUUUAAUAGCAUGACGUGUAAAGUUUUUCUAUUUGAUUGAAAGUUUUUUCAACAUUCUAUUAUGUCCUUCUUAUCCAGCAGUCAGAUGAGCUUCAUGAAGUAUGUGAAAUAACUUAGAGUCUGUGACAUAAUAAUACUGUUGCCUUCUUUAACAGGAUAAAUAAGCUUAUUUUAUCCUCUCACAAACAUAACAUCAUAGUGAUUCAGCAACCAAUAGUCCCAGCAUUUCUUCUUAGUAGUCAUUUUGGGUAUUUUUAAAUCAUUCAUUGACUUCUGAUAAGUAGUUUCGGUUAAGAAUAAACUGCCAUUUUUAGCAUGAUCUCAAAAUUGGACAGUUCAUCAUCGAAUUGUUGUUGCAUGUCUGUUGACCAUGACUUCUCCAACAUAGUAUCUUGCUAUUCCAUUUUCAUGCAGAACAGCAUAAAAUUAAUUUUUUGUUGAGCAGAUUUAAGUAAAAUUCUGUAUUUUGGCACUUUCGAAAACAGCGCAAAGUGUAAAUGGUAAAUUCAUCACCUGGUAAAUGGUAAAUUCAUCACCAUGUUAAAAGUCACAUGGUGUUCAAAGCGAAUCAGACAUGUAUUUAAUGAUUUACCAGUUUUCAUUUGGUAUCUAGAUUGCUAAGGAAAUGUGUGAAGUGUUAGUCAUUUCAUGCAUUGCCAACCAGUUUUUGCAUUUUAUAGAAUACUGGCCUUCAUGCAUUGUCAACAACAUUUGUAUUAAAUAAAUUGUGCUGCAUGGGCAGUAAAUGAAUUACCAAAUUUACAUUGGUCAUCGUUUAGUGAAUUUCAUUUUUGUGGCUGUUUUAUAACAUUUGCCAACAAAUUAAAAUUUUUUAAAACCAAAUUGUGCCAGCACCAUUUUCUGUCAGCAAACUAUGAGAAGGAAAUAUCAGUAAAUAUAUUUCGAUAAAAACGGGCCAUCGUAAAAUGUAAAAUUACACCUCCUCAAGAAGAUCUUUGCCAUCUGCCAUCAUAACAAGUUUGGUAUGAAAUCAGUACCAAUUUAAUUAAUUAAAUUUUUAUUUUAUUUAUUUUCCCCUAAUUUUACAGUGACAAUAAGUAUUUUUUAUGUAGUUUUGUCUUAUUAAUUCACUCUUCAUUAAGUGCUGUGAAAAGUUUUAAGUAUAUUAAAUAUACUGAGUGUAAUGUUUCACUGGUAAUAAUUAAUAAAUUGUGUAUAUAUCGUAUCACUGUAAAUGGUGUGGCAAAAAAUUUAGACAGAAAGAACAUUUGAAAGGUCAUGUUUUCAUGGUACAUAUGAAAAAUUAGUUCCAGCUCUUUUGUGCAUUUUUAUUUAAAAUUGUAUAAGAUUUGUGAUGUAUUCUACUGUUAUUUAGCUCAAAAUCACAAACACUAUUGCUUAUUCUUACACUGUAAUGUGCGCAUAGAAGUGAGUAGUAGAUUGUUAUUUUAAACUGAAAUAAUUUUAAGAGAAUAGUUGCUAUUGUGAUGCUUUCAGUGUUAAAAUCUUCUUUACUUUGAUACAAGAAAAUUACAGUAAAAGCUAAAAGUUACACAGCUACUGAUUUUGAAAUAUGAUCUUAAUUGAAGGUAACAAGAACUUCUGCUUGCUCUCAAAGAUAUGUGAAAAGAAACGGAAUGAUCUAUCUUUACGGUAUAGCUAAUUCCUUUUUAGCAUCUCUAGUAUGAACUACUUUUGAAAAGGAACAGGAAUUUGUAUUGUAAAUUUGAAGCAAUGUUCACAUAGUGGUAUUACUAAUGUUUAUAAUGGCAACACUGACCUUGUAGCAGUAUGAUAAAUGCUUAAUAAAUUAUUCUGAAUAUAGUCUCAAACUAUAGUCUAUUAAAAUAGGUAGAAGAUGUCAAUUUUAAAACCCCUUUUUAGUGUUUAAUAUUGUAAGAGGGUAAUUCUUGUUAAAAUCUUUUGAGAUGUUUUUUAUGUAUACAUAUAUAUAAUUAUUAUUCAUUUCCAUGUCUAAAAUGUGCACAUAACAAUAUUUGUGAAUGAAUUUUUUGCUUAUGUCAAACUGCAUUGGAAUUUCAUAUGAUUGAUUUGUUAUUUUUUAUAAUGAUAUUUCUACCUUUUCUCAGGUAGAGAUUAUGGCAAUGUGGAUGUAUGUCAAGCUUUGUUUAUCUCUGACAAGUCAUUACCAGGAACUAUUCAAAGACAUCAUUGUUUAAUAUGCAAAUAUUCCUCAGAGAAGGGAUCAGAAAAAAAAGUGUUAUUGGAAGACAAGCUUCAUAUACAGCUAAAAAAUCUGUGGAUGGAUAUAACAUGUACCAUUGCUGUUUUUGUGGAUAUUUUUCCAAAUAUAAAACAAAUAUUCGUCAUCAUGUUUUCAUUCAUACUGGAGAAAGACCAUAUCAGUGCAGAAUAUGUGGUCAGAAGUUCAGACGAAAUGAACAUUUAAAAUGUCAUAGUUUUAGUAAACACAGAGGAAUAGCUGAAACUCAAAAUCUGUAUUAUUUUUAAUAAAUAACUUAAUAUGAAUAUUUCUUUUGUAUCUUGCCAAAGGUUGUUUAUAUUUUGCUAACUUUAUUUAUUAGUUAAUGCUACUAUGUAAUAAGAUAGAACAAUAGACUAUAUGUGUAUGAAGUGUUUUUGUUGUGUGUGUAUUAUAAGUGUAUGUGAUGAGUGAAAAGGGUUAUUCAUAUUAUAUCACAUGUAUAUUUGUUUGUACAUGUUUUUAUAUUUUUAACUCUCAGAAAAAUUAUUACCAUUUCUUUUUUCGAGUAAAUGUAACAUGUACGUUAGCUGAAAUACACAUUUUUGUAUCUUGAAAUCUGAUAGAAACAUUCGUAACAUUUUGUGUAUACAUGCAUGUAUGUAUACACAUAAAAUGUUAAGAAUAUGUAUUAUGUAUAUAUAUAUAUAUGUGAAUGUAUAUAUAUAAUGAAGAAAGAAAAAUAUGCACAAAAGUUCCGGACAUGUGCAGCAAUCAUUUCUUGAUGCUAACUGAGUUUGUGUAUAAUUUUCAAUUCUUUAAAAAUUUUUAGUUAAUAGCUGUCUUUUUUACACUCAGAGCUUGUCAGUGUUGGGCAAAUAAUGUGUAAUUCAAUUUAAAAUUUUCUAGGUUUUCAAUUUCCCUAACUAAAUUUGUUCAUUGGUUAGCUGAAAAACAGACUAUCAUCAUGAGAAAUGUAAAUUACUUCUUUAUGAUUUUUAUGGUACUUUGAUUCUUUGAAUUUUUGUAAAAGAUUUCUAAUUUUAUAUAUUCUUCUCAGUUUCAUGCAAUAGUUUUGUUGACUGUUUUGUUCUACUUUGUUGUUUUGCUGAAUAUAAAUUAAAAUGUAGUAUUUUCCAUAUUUUAUAUAUAAAAUUAUAUAUAUAUUGUAUAUAUAUGCAUGCACAGAAAUGGUUCAUAUAAUGACCUGUUUUGUCCUAAAAAAAAAGAGAUAGUGUAAGGAGUAAUCACCAUAAUGAGAAUGAAUUCAGUUUACUUUCAUUAUUUGGAUAUGUUUUGCAUUACUUUUGGUAGUGGCAGGUUUCUGUAGCAAGCAUGGGCAACAUGUGUAAAUGUAUAUAUAUAUAUACAUUGGCAAAAAGUAAGAAAUUUAGAACCCAAUUACACAAAGACAAAAAAAGUGAAAUUUAAUACCAAUAAAUUUCAUAGAAACAAAUGUGAUUCCAAUGGGAAGUUCAUAUUCAACUUAUCUAUGUAACCUAUAUUUGUUUUCAAAGAAUUAAAUUUUUUAGAAAACCUUU